UUUUCCAUAUGUUAAGUUGAAAGAUCCCCGAAGAGAGACCCUUACUCAAGUCUUGGGAAAUCGCGGACCCCAGACACAGAGAGACCA
rnacentral:pre_miRNA from 14 species